UACGGGGGGAGCAAGCGUUGUUCGGAUUUACUGGGCGUAAAGGGCGCGUAGGCGGCCUGUGCAAGUCAGUUGUGAAAUCUCCGGGCUUAACUCGGAACGGUCAACUGAUACUGCUCGGCUAGAGUGCGGAAGGGGCAACUGGAAUUCUUGGUGUAGCGGUGAAAUGCGUAGAUAUCAAGAGGAACACCUGCGGCGAAGGCGGGUUGCUGGGCCGACACUGACGCUGAGGCGCGAAAGCUAGGGGAGCGAACGGG
rnacentral:rRNA from 1 species